rnacentral:rRNA from 1 species
AUUGAACGCUGGCGGCAGGCUUAACACAUGCAAGUCGAGCGGGGGGAAGGUAGCUUGCUACCUAACCUAGCGGCGGACGGGUGAGUAAUGCUUAGGAAUCUGCCUAUUAGUGGGGGACAACAUUUCGAAAGGGAUGCUAAUACCGCACACGCCCUAAGGGGGAAAGCAGGGGAUCUUCGGACCUUGCGCUAAUACAUGAGCCUAAGUCGGAUUAGCUAGUUGGUGGGGUAAAGGCCUACCAAGGCGACGAUCUGUAGCGGGUCUGAGAGGAGGAUCCGCCACACUGGGACUGAGACACGGCCCAGACUCCUACGGGAGGCAGCAGUGGGGAAUAUUGGACAAUGGGGGGAACCCUGAUCCAGCCAUGCCGCGUGUGUGAAGAAGGCCUUUUGGUUGUAAAGCACUUUAAGCGAGGAGGAGGCUACCGAGAUUAAUACUCUUGGAUAGUGGAUGUUACUCGCAGAAUAAGCACCGGCUAACUCUGUGCCAGCAGCCGCCGUAAAAC